rnacentral:rRNA from 1 species
AUGACCUGUGGGGAGGAGUAAAAGUCUAAUCAAACUCAGAGAUAUCUGGUUCUCCCCGAAAAUGCUCUAGGGCAUGCCUCUGGCAACUACAUCAUGGGGGUAGAGCUACUGAAUGGAUCGAGGGGGCUUCCCGCCUACCUCCUCCAAUCAAACUCCGAAUACCAUGAUGACUAUCCAGGGAGAAAGACUACGGGUGACAACGUCCGUGGUCAAAAGGGAAACAACCCAGACCACCGGCUAAGGCCCCCAAUUUAACCUGAGUGCAUAAGGAAGUUGGGUUUCUGUGACAGCGGGGAUGUUGGCUUAGAAGCAGCCACCAUUUAAAAAGUGCG